AUUAUUGUAAUCAAACAGGUUCUCUUGUCUCGAAUUAAAAUCCCUCAUGACGCUCUCCAUAAUGCUCAGUUUAUUUGUAUUGAGAAAUUCGUUUUGGCAUUGAUUUUCAUUGAAAUCAUCCAGAAAUGUCACAAUACUGACUGGAGUAUGCCAGGCAAACGUCAAAAUGCGAAAUUAAAACCGGGAAAAGCAAUGAAAAAAAUCAUCCCGAUGCACGAUUUUUAUUACAGUGGAGCUUAAAUAGUGCCCUUAUAAAAACUCCCUCCAAUAAAAGGAAACGGUUCGA